UUAUCGGUGCAAAUUCGACCCGGCUAACUCUCGCUCCGGCCGGAAGCACAAGGAGCGGUCCAGGAGGCAACGAGUGGGCUGAAGCACUUCUUGAAACGGCCGUUGCGGUUCAGAGAUCGUCGUCAAGUAUGGGUCUGGCCAUUUCCUUUUCGCCGUCGAAACAACGAUCAGGUUAACAGGA
rfam:Candidatus Burkholderia humilis strain TZHbot5 BHTMctg6, whole genome shotgun sequence.